rnacentral:rRNA from 1 species
UACCAGCACCCCGAGUGGUCGGGACGUUUUAUUGGGCCUAAAGCAUCCGUAGCCGGUUUUACAAGUCCCCCGUUAAAUCCAGCUGCUUAACAGAUGGGCUGCGGAGGAUACUAUAAGACUAGGAGGCAGGAGAGGCAAGCGGUACUCAGUGGGUAGGGGUAAAAUCCGUUGAUCCAUUGAAGACCACCAGUGGCGAAGGCGGCUUGCCAGAAUGCGCUCGACGGUGAGGGAUGAAAGCUGGGGGAGCAAACCGG